GACGAACGCUGGCGGCGUGCUUAACACAUGCAAGUCGAACGGAAAGGCCCUGCUUGCAGGGUACUCGAGUGGCGAACGGGUGAGUAACACGUGGGUGAUCUGCCCUGCACUUCGGGAUAAGCCUGGGAAACUGGGUCUAAUACCGGAUAGGAGCCAUUUUUAGUGUGAUGGUUGGAAAGUUUUUUCGGUGUAGGAUGAGCUCGCGGCCUAUCAGCUUGUUGGUGGGGUAAUGGCCUACCAAGGCGGCGACGGGUAGCCGGCCUGAGAGGGUGGACGGCCACAUUGGGACUGAGAUCCGGCCCAGACUCCUACGGGAGGCAGCAGGGGGGAAUAUUGCACAAUGGGCGCAAGCCUGAUGCAGCGACGCCGCGUGGGGGAUGACGGCCUUCGGGUUGUAAACUCCUUUCGCUAGGGACGAAGCUUUUUGUGACGGUACCUAGAUAAGAAGCACCGGCUAACUACGUG
rnacentral:rRNA from 1 species